UCCAGAUAAGUAUAGACUUGGCCUUAUUGAGCAACGUCAGAGCCCUAUUUCUUCUUUGGAGUGGGAUGGAAACAAAUCUCAGGCUUUGCUUCAGUUUUGGACAAUGUUUUUAUUAUAUGUUUAGUGUUCUCUAUACAAAAAAUCAAUUUUACAGUGAUUCUUACCCCCCCAAAGAUAACUGAAUAUUUUGGCCUUUUUCAUUGCUCAUGCAGUCAGUUUAUAAGUCCAUAUAUUAAGCAUUUCUCUCUAGUCCACCAAUUGUCUUGCUGUAAGCCUUUCUUUACAGCCUCAGAUAUGCAUUUAUCACUGGGGGAAAAGCAGAUUAACACAAAAUAACUAUUUUUUUAAAGGCAAAUAAAUAUGUAGAAUGUACUGGAAUGACCAGGAGGUUUUAGACAGAGUUUUGGGUUAAACAUUGACAAAUAAUAAAUGAAACAAAACUGAAAACAAAAAUAGUCCAAUACUUUCUUUCCAACACAAGCUGUGGAAAUGAAUGUUUAAAACUCCCUUGUGCAAAGGAAGAAAUCUGUUUUGCAGAUAUGACUUGGAUUUGGACUGCAAUUGAUGUCACGAUCUGAGAAUGAGGUCCACUUGGAACAAAUACAUGGAGAAAUGAAAAUUGCUGGGCAAAGACAACGCCACUGACAGAGUGGCAUUUUUAAGAAUCGGAAAAGCAUUAUUAUUCCCUUCAAUAAAAUGGGUGGGUGUGCAUGAAACAAAACAUGUUUUUUGUUUUUAUGAGGUUUUAUUUUUUUUAUUGCUUCACUGAAAUUGUUUGUUGCUAGUACAGAAUUAACCCAGUACAAUGCAUCUUGUUUCCAGAGGCAAUCACUGCUGUGCUAGGACAUGCCCUUCACUUCUGGCUACGUUCCAGGAAAUGAAUUCAGUACCUCAGAAUUCUUCUCCGGGUCAAGACAGUUGCUAGCUUGGAUGGGAAAAGGCCACAAUGGAUCAACUGAGUGCUGCUAGUCAGGCCCCCAGCACAAUUGAUUGCUCAUGCCUGUGCUUGCUGCAGCCUCUGACAACACUGCUGAGCCGGAGGGAGCCUUGAGCCUGGGCUUGAUCACAUCUGCAGAGUUGCUGCUAGGACUGCUGCUGCCUAUUUACCCGAGGGAGACCGAAGACAUCCAGGAGGUCCAAAGGAGAUGUUGCCACACUGAGUCACACAGAAAAACAAGCUGAAGCCACACCAUAGAUGAUCAGACCGUCGUCUUCCUUCUUCAUCCUGGAAAGGGUACGAUGGAUAACAAAAACACAGAGCGGGGAAUCAGAGUACUGGUGCUGAAGGAUUUGAUCCUAACCUGUGUGAAGAGUCCCACUGGAUUCCAUAGGACUAUUUGCAUGAGUAAGUCCAGCUGGGUUUGACUCAUGUUUUAAAUUCUUCAGGGCUGGGAUCUACUUUUCGUUCCAUUUAUUGGCUUUGGUAUGUUUCGGCAGAUUAUGCACCUGCCCGUCUAGCGAGGUAGUCAUACCGAACUCAGUCCCAUGGUAUCAGAAGCGCUAAAGUGCCCAGGACCGCCAAUGUGGGGGCAAGGCAGGGCAAUAAUUUUAAAGGUGCUGGGGUUCCCAGGUUACUACUGUGGCAGUGGCGAUGGCCAAAGCCCCAGGCUGUGCGUUUCCAGCAAUGCUGAAGAGCUAAACUGGGAAGGCUUGCCCCAGUCCUGCCCCACCCCUCCUGGGGGUGCAGAGAUGGGCCCCUCCCACCGCGCCCAGCAGCCUGGCAAGUCUGUCUGCUGCUCCACUAGUGCUCUACAGCUAACUAUACUAAGCAGAAUAAGUAAUCAUAGCAGGGUAUGAGAUGGAAUCAAAUUCUUCUCUCUAACCAAGCAACAGUUUGAGUCCCCUGAUUAAAAAAGCUCAUUUCCUUUUCUUCAGAUGGGAGACAGAUAGGGAGAGGGGAGCUGCAAUGGUACCAGCACAGUAGAUCAAAGCAGACAAGUAUUAACUCGGAAACAGUCUGCAGUUAUUAAGCCAAGAGGUUUUAAUGAGAGUCUUAAAAAAAAGGAUUUCAUUCUUUUUGACAUACUCUCUAUAAAAUAUGAGUCCUGAGAGGCAAGGCUUCUGUAACUGGCAAAGCAACUCCAAACUGCUGGUCAGUCUCCAAUGGAAGGUGCGAACACUGCAGAAUAGCAGCACCACACAAUGUUGAAGUACAGCAGAGAUGGGGAGCCUCCGGCCCACGGGCUGGAUCUGGCUCCAGCACACGUCUUGCUCAGGCUCCUGGCUCUUCUGCAGCGGGGCAAGCUGGUGCUCCAGCCACGUGGGGGAGUGCCAAGGAUCAGGCCCCUUCCUACAUAGCUGGAGCACCAGCACUGGCUCCCUGCUGCUGGUAAGGUUGCCAUGUGCCCUGUAAAAAACCUCACAAAACACUGGAUAUGUAAAAUGUCCAGUAU